AACUGCCAUGAAUACGUAGGGGCUUGAAUUAUUAGGAAGUACCUAGGAAUUAUGUAGUGUAAGCCGGUGAAAUGCUUAGAGAUUACAUGGAAUACCCAAUUGCCGAAGGCCAGGUUACUACCUAAAUUAUAAUUGACGCUGAUGGACGAAAAGCGUGGGUAGCGAACAGGAUUAGAUACCCUGGUAGUGCACGCCGUAAACGAUGGAUACUAGCUGUUCGGAGCAAUCUGAGUGGCUAAGCGAAAGUGAUAAGUAUCCCACCUGGGGAGUACGAACGCAAGUUUGAAACUCAAAUGAAUGACGG
rnacentral:rRNA from 1 species